rnacentral:rRNA from 1 species
AACGCUAGCUACAGGCUUAACACAUGCAAGUCGAGGGGCAGCAUGGUCUUAGCUUGCUAAGGCCGAUGGCGACCGGCGCACGGGUGAGUAACACGUAUCCAACCUGCCGUCUACUCUUGGACAGCCUUCUGAAAGGAAGAUUAAUACAAGAUGGCAUCAUGAGUCCGCAUGUUCACAUGAUUAAAGGUAUUCCGGUAGACGAUGGGGAUGCGUUCCAUUAGAUAGUAGGCGGGGUAACGGCCCACCUAGUCUUCGAUGGAUAGGGGUUCUGAGAGGAAGGUCCCCCACAUUGGAACUGAGACACGGCCCAAACUCCUACGGGAGGCAGCAGUGAGGAAUAUUGGUCAAUGGCCGCAGGCCUGAACCAGCCAAGUAGCGUGAAGGAUGACUGCCCUAUGGGUUGUAAACUUCUUUUAUAAAGGAAUAAAGUCGGGUAUGGAUACCCGUUUGCAUGUACUUUAUGAAUAAGGAUCGGCUAACUCCGUGCCAGCAGCCGCGGUAAUACGGAGGAUCCGAGCGUUAUCCGGAUUUAUUGGGUUUAAAGGGAGCGUAGAUGGAUGUUUAAGUCAGUUGUGAAAGUUUGCGGCUCAACCGUAAAAUUGCAGUUGAUACUGGAUAUCUUGAGUGCAGUUGAGGCAGGCGGAAUUCGUGGUGUAGCGGUGAAAUGCUUAGAUAUCACGAAGAACUCCGAUUG